CCUUUUUCCUAUUGGAGAACUGUCUCACCCAGCUCCUGAGCUUCAGAUCUUAGAAGGGGAAUGCUGAAUUGAGGGUUUAGCAGCUCCCUUCAGAAGGAUUCUUGUUCUGCAGAUGGAUGGUCUCCAAGGAAGAUGUGCUUUACUCAUGCACACAUGCACCUAUAACCCUUGAGCUUUCAACACUUCAGUGUCUGACAAGUUGUAGCUGAAUACUUAAGUCCUUCAACAGAACAGUACUUGGCUGGCAUACAUACCAUCUCUAAUCUCUAUGAAUUUGUGAUAGCUCAGUCACAGUCAGGUGGGAAGCAAACAGUUCAUGCACAUUCUCUAGCAAGAUGUGGGGCACAGGAAGAGAGAGAGGGAAAAGGAGUGGAAGAUUAUGAUUUCACAAAUUGAAGACUUAGUUGGAAACAGGAACUGAGAGAAAUUUAGCUGGCUAAGAAUAGAAGAUUUGACUCACUGAAGGCUGGAAGGAAAUAGAGGUGCCAUAGUACAUUCGGUAACCUUAAGAAUAUACAUCACCUACAGCCUGUUCAAGUUUUAUUCCAGGCAACUCCUACAGCCAAUGCAGAAGUACAAUCAGAAGAAAAAGUUUCAUUAAUUUAAGAUGACCAGCAGAAUUACCCAAUGCAAUUCUCAAACAAACUUAGACUCUACUGGAAUUUAGAUUCCCCUUCAUCUCAUGAAGAAACACAUGGAAUGUUGACUAAGACUGUGUGAUGCUUUGAAGGGGCAAUUCAGUUUGAAGAAAAUGUAGUUAAAUCACCCCUUCAUACUGAAUCUUUAAAUUGAAUCCUAAAUUGAUCUGCGGCAUAAAAUCAAGUGCUUUGAAAUCAUUUUGGAGAGAUUCAGACAUGAUUCAGAGAUUUGAUGGAUUUUCUGGCUUUCCAAAGUCUUAAAACACAAUGGCAACUUUCUCUCUGCAUGUGAACAGCAGUUGGGAGGGGGCUGAAUGGUGUGGCUGGAGCUUCCUCUCUUUUGAUACUGACAGAAGUAGCCAACUGAGCAAUGUUAACAUGUCUACAAACCCUGCCCAUCAGACAGCCUAACAGUCUUCUACAACAUAGCUCCUCCAGAUGUCUUGGAUCUAGAACGCUAAGAGUUUCAAGUAACCUGAGUUUUGGACAUCCUGAC